UACAGCGGGAAGCCAGGCGGCGACGCCGAGCGGAACCCGAAAAACCGGUCUCAGUUCGGAUCGGAGUCUGCAACCCGACUCCGUGAAGCUGGAUUCGCUAGUAAUCGCGCAUCAGCCAUGGCGCGGUGAAUACGUUCCCGGGCCUUGUACACACCGCCCGUCAAGCCAUGGGAGCCGGGGGUGCUUGAAGUGCGUCGCCGUGAGGCGCGCCCUAGAGCAAAACCGGUGACUGGGGCUAAGUCGUAACAAGGUAUC
rnacentral:rRNA from 1 species